rnacentral:tRNA from 1 species
GAAGAGAUGGCUCAGUGGUUAAGAGCACUGACUGUUCUUACAAAGGUCCUGAGUUCAAUUCCCAGCAACUACU